rnacentral:rRNA from 1 species
GGGGGGGGGGGGCGGGGGGGGGGGGGGGGGGGGGGCGGGGGGAGGGGGGGGAGGCGGGCUGGGGGGAUGUGAGCGGCGGACGGGGGGGGAGCACGUGGAUAGCCUACCUAUAAGACUGGGAUAACUUCGGGAAACCGGAGCUAGUACCGGAGAAUAUUUUGAACCGCAUGGUUCAAAAGUGAAAGACGGUCUUGCGGUCACUUAUAGAUGGAUCCGCGCUGCAUUAGCUAGUUGGUAAGGUAACGGCUUACCAAGGCAACGAUGCAUAGCCGACCUGAGAGGGUGAUCGGCCACACUGGAACUGAGACACGGUCCAGACUCCUACGGGAGGCAGCAGUAGGGAAUCUUCCGCAAUGGGCGAAAGCCUGACGGAGCAACGCCGCGUGAGUGAUGAAGGUCUUCGGAUCGUAAAACUCUGUUAUUAGGGAAGAACAUAUGUGUAAGUAACUGUGCACAUCUUGACGGUACCUAAUCAGAAAGCCACGGCUAACUACGUG